AUUCGCUCGAAACGUUCGAGGACAACUUGUAGGUAGCAUUUUCUUUGACCUCGUCUGGAAGCAGACAUCUGAAAUUCGGUACAGCCCCCAAAAAUACUCCCGACAUAAGAGUGAAGCCCGUUAAGAAGGUGGUCAGACAACUGUAGAAAAUUUGACCAACACUAUUCACCGCGGACAUUAACAUUUAUAUUCCGCACGUACGAACUUUGAGGUAUACUCGAUGCAACGGGAGGAUUCCGAGACUGCAGAAGCAACGUCUUCACGAAUCAACGAAAUUCAACUUCCAGAAUUAAUCGCCCUAGACUUUUGAGCCUCGGAGAGACGUAGAUAACCGAAUCACUUUUAUUAUCGAAAGCUCACGCGUGCUAAUAACAUUUAUUAUCGCGUAUCGUAAACGUUAUAUAUUUUU